AAAACCUUAGCAGUGAGGUAAAUUAUUUGUAAUUUUCGUUUUAUUAAUUUCUAUGUCAUAUUAAUUUUUAUUUAAAUGUUUCUUGCAAUUUAUAUAUUUUGUUAAUAUUUCUUGUAUUUUCAAUAUUAAUAUGAAUGUUUCUUGCAAUAUUUAUAUUUUGUUUUGCAUUUCUAAUAAAUUGUUAAAAUUUAUUGCAUUUCCAUUAUUUGUUUUUUAUACAUGUUGCAUUUUUUAAAAAUGUAUUGCAUUUGCAUUUUUU
rnacentral:lncRNA from 1 species